rnacentral:rRNA from 1 species
UGGGGAAUAUUGGACAAUGGGCGCAAGCCUGCUCCAGCCAUGCCGCGUGAGUGAUGAAGGCCCUAGGGUUGUAAAGCUCUUUCACCGGUGAAGAUAAUGACGGUAAGCGGAGAAGAAGCCCCGGCUAACUUCGUGCCAGCAGCCGCUGUAAUACGAAGGGGGCUAGCGUUGUUCGGAAUUACUGGGCGUAAAGCGCACGUAGGCGGACUUUUAAGUCAGGGGUGAAAUCCCGGGGCUCAACCCCGGAACUGCCUUUGAUACUGGAAGUCUUGAGUAUGGUGGAGGUGAGUGGACUUCCGAGUGUAGAGGUGACAUUCGUAGAUAUUCGGAGGAACGCCAGUAGAGAAGGCGGCUCACUAAACCAUUACUGACGCUAAGGUGCGAAAGCGUGGGUAGCAAACUGG